UUCUUAUUUAAUGAUGAUUGUCACGUGUCAUCUUCUGAUUGGAUGUCAACUCCAUGAAAAAUGAAAUGCAUUGUUGUUUUCAUUGACCAAUCAAAACAUGAUACAUGACAGUCAUCAUCC
rfam:Glycine soja cultivar W05 scaffold2679_13, whole genome shotgun sequence.